rnacentral:rRNA from 1 species
AUCUACUAGUCAUAUGAAUGUGCAGCGCCGCGCGGUAUACAGCUCUCCGAGUGGUAGGGACGAUUAUGGCUUAAAGCGUCCGUAGCCGGCUUAGCAAGUCCCCUGUUAAUUCAACGACCUUAUCGUUGAGCCGCGGGAGAUACUACUAGGCUAGGAGGCGGAAGAGGCCGACGGUAUUCUCGGGGUAGGGGUGAAAAUCCUAUAAUCCCGGGAGGACCACCAGUGGCGAAGGGCUGUCGGCUAGAACGCGCUCGACGGUGAGGGACGAAAAGCUGGGGGAGCGAACCGGAUUAGAUACCCGGGUAGUCCCAGCUGUAAACGAUGCGGGCUAGGUGUUGGGGUGGCUACGAGCCACUUCAGUGCCGCAGGGAAGCCAUUAAGCCCGCCGCCUGGGGAGUACGGCCGCAAGGCUGAAACUUAAAGGAAUUGGCGGGGGAGCACCACAAGGCGUGAAGCUUGCGGUUCAAUUGGAGUCAACGCCGGGAACCUUACCGGGGGCGACAGCAGGAUGAAGGCCAGAUUGAAGGUCUUGCUGGACAAGCUGAGAGGAGGUGCAUGGCCGUCGCCAGUUCGUGCCGUGAGGUGUCCUGUUAAGUCAGGCAACGAUCGAGACCCGCGCCCUUAGUUGCUACCGAGGAAGUUUUCCAAGGAGCACUCUAGGGGGACUGCCGCCGACAAGGCGGAGGAAGGAGCGGGCCACGGCAGGUCAGUAUGCCCCGAAUCCCCCGGGCUACACGCGAGCUGCAAUGGCAGGGACAAUGGGUUCCCACCUUGAAAAAGGGAGGCAAUCCCUAAACCCUGCCUCAGUUGGGAUCGAGGGCUGCAACUCGCCCUCGUGAACAUGGAAUGCCUAGUAAUCGCGCGUCAUCAUCGCGCGGUGAAUACGUCCCCGCUCCUUGUACACACCGCCCGUCA